AUGGCUGUGAGAAUCCUCUCAUUGACAUCAAGUUCUUCAGUCUGUGAAAGGAAUUGGAGUACCUUCGAAAAUAUACAUACGAAGAAAAGAAAUAGGCUAACUACAGAACGUCUAAACUCUCUUGUGUUCAUAGAAUUCAACUCGAGAAUGAUGGCCAAGAAACAAAUGAUCAAGGAGAAGAAGAUCACUGAUGUCCUCUUAUCCGCUGAAACUACUAAAGCUCAAGGUUUUCUUUUUGAGGGCGGAGAUGAUUAUGCAGAAGUCUUAUGUAUGGAUAAAGAUGAGGAGGAGAUGAAUAGUACAGGGAUGCCAGGGAGUGGCAUUGGAGAAGCAAUGGGAGGCGAUGAACUGCUCGAGCCAUGUAGAAGUGCGAGACCAAGACAACUUUAUGAAGAAGAAGAAUUUGAUUCUGAAAAAGAGGAGUUUGAUGAUGAGGAGGAGAUGCAUUCAGAUGAGGAGAAUGGCUAUUGA
rnacentral:rRNA from 1 species